UGCGUAGGGGGCAAGCGUUAUCCGGAUUUACUGGGUGUAAAGGGGGCGCAGACGGCGAUGCAAGCCAGGAGUGAAAGCCCGGGGCCCAACCCCGGGACUGCUCUUGGAACUGCGUGGCUGGAGUGCAGGAGGGGCAGGCGGAAUUCCUGGUGUAGCGGUGAAAUGCGUAGAUAUCAGGAGGAACACCGGUGGCGAAGGCGGCCUGCUGGACUGCAACUGACGUUGAGGCCCGAAAGUGUGGGGAGCAAACAGG
rnacentral:rRNA from 1 species